CUAAAUGACUAAAAAAACUCCCCGACCAUUCGGUUUCCACUUGCCCCGACCACCGCGAAGAUCUCAGACCAAGGGAACAAGGAUGAUGGGAGUAGGUGUGGUGGGUGAACUGCCUUUGACUUCUGAUGCU